AACGAACGCUGGCGGCAGGCCUAACACAUGCAAGUCGAGCGAGGACUUCGGUCCUAGCGGCGGACGGGUGAGUAACGCGUGGGAACGUGCCCUUUGCUACGGAAUAGCCCUGGGAAACUGGGAGUAAUACCGUAUGUGCCCUUUGGGGGAAAGCAGGGGAUCUUCGGACCUUGCGUUAUUUGAGCGGCCGAUGUCUGAUUAGCUAGUUGGUGGGGUAAGAGCCUACCAAGGCGACGAUCAGUAGCGGGUCUGAGAGGAUGAUCCGCCACACUGGGACUGAGACACGGCCCAGACUCCUACGGGAGGCAGCAGUGGGGAAUCUUAGACAAUGGGGGAAACCCUGAUCUAGCCAUGCGGCGUGAUCGAUGAAGGCCUUAGGGUUGUAAAGAUCUUUCAGUGAGGAAGAUAAUGACUGUACCCACAGAAGAAGCCCCGGCUAACUACGUGCCAGCAGCCGCCGUAA
rnacentral:rRNA from 1 species